rnacentral:rRNA from 1 species
AACGAACGCCGGCGGCAUGCCUAACACAUGCAAGUCGAACGAAGGCUUCGGCCUUAGUGGCGCACGGGUGCGUAACGCGUGGGAAUCUGCCCUUAGGUUCGGAAUAACAGUUAGAAAUGACUGCUAAUACCGGAUGAUGACGUAAGUCCAAAGAUUUAUCGCCUGAGGAUGAGCCCGCGUAGGAUUAGCUAGUUGGUGUGGUAAAGGCGCACCAAGGCGACGAUCCUUAGCUGGUCUGAGAGGAUGAUCAGCCACACUGGGACUGAGACACGGCCCAGACUCCUACGGGAGGCAGCAGUGGGGAAUAUUGGACAAUGGGCGCAAGCCUGAUCCAGCAAUGCCGCGUGAGUGAUGAAGGCCUUAGGGUUGUAAAGCUCUUUUACCCGUGAUGAUAAUGACAGUAGCGGGAGAAUAAGCCCCGGCUAACUCCGUG